GAUUUCUGGUUCGGCGCGCCUCGCCCGUCUCGGUCUUCGGGACAGUGUGCCUGGUGCGCCAUCCAUCCUUCGAGUAAUCAUCUUUGCCUUCACGGGUAAGGGUGCCUACCUCGAUCUUUUACUUUGAAAAAAUUAGAGUGUUUAAAGCAGGCUUGCGCUAUGAAUACAUUAGCAUGGAAUAAUAAUUUAGGACUUUGGUUCUAUUUUGUUGGUUUCUAGGACUGAAGUAAUGAUUGAUAGGGACAGUUGGGGGUGCUAGUAUUCAGCGGCCAGAGGUGAAAUUCUUGGAUUCGCUGAAGACUAACUUAUGCGAAAGCAUU
rnacentral:rRNA from 1 species